AGAGUCGCCCUGGGAGAGCCGAGGGCCUGAGGGUCGACCACCAAGGGCAGAGCCUAUCCCUUGGGGAGCUGCUGGAGGAGACAGGCAGCGCCGGGAGGUGGCUCACACCGCACCGCCGAGAGCGCUUUGCCCUCGCAUCGCUGAAAUUUAAUCACGGUCACAGAGCUGGAAGACAGCUGUUCCUGGAUCACACCAGAAUGGAGAAGCAAGCUCCUCCCACUAGCAGAAAGCCUUUGCUUUCUGUGCCUGGAUUCGGAAGAUUAGUUAAGCACUGGAAGAGGAGGGGGGAAACAACAACUCGUUUUUGCUUAGAUUUCCACCUGUUCCCAUCCUCCACAGUCUCCCAUCCCACCAGCAACACACGUGAGAUAUCUGAUGCCUUCCCAUCAAUAACUCUCACUUAGUAUGGGUAAGCAAAAAAUUUCCAACCAGGGAUGGAAGUUGUGGAGAGAUAGAGUGGGAAAGCUCAAGGAGCAUUGAUAGGGAUCAUUAAUUAAAAAUCUACCAAACAUCUCUUUCUCUCCCUAAUGUGCGAGUUACAAUAACAUCACUCAAAGCAGUUUGCAGCCACAGCUUGAAGAAAUACAGUAACAAUGACAGAAUUAACAUUCACUAUCUUUAUUAACAUUUUUACUUUCUUAAACCUUGUUUCUUUCAAAAGACACUGGCAUAGUCCUGUAUGAAUUAUGUGGAUUUGCCAAGAGAAAAAAAUAAAAUGAUACAACAAAUGG
rnacentral:antisense_RNA from 1 species